UGGCUGAACCUCGUGGAACUCAGUAAACUUCCUCAGUUUGCCAACAUCCUCAAUCAGGUGGGUAAAAGUGGAAAACACUGGAAAGUGUGGGCCAACGGCGAUGCCCCGGAGGAAGCUGUCAUCCCAGAUGGUUACAACAACCUGGACGUCUUCAACAAACUCAUGCUUAUUAGGUCCUGGUGUCCAGAUCGCACCUUGGCUCAGGCCAGGAAGUACGA